rnacentral:misc_RNA from 1 species
ACACCUCAACUCCUCACGGUUUGCCGUGAUGAGCUUGGACUUGGGGGUUUUGCCGGCAUGCAGCCGGCUCCUCUCAAAUGAAUCAGCUUUCCAGUGUUUGGUGGCAUCACGGGUGUGAUAACUAUCUACGCUCGCCGUUGUCUGCCAGGUAACCCUCAGCAAUGAAGGUUCAUUGGGGCUCAUAAACGUCUCUCCUCAGCGAAGACAACUUUUGAAU